GAGAAUGCUGCUUCUGACUUGCAACAGGUGAAUGGGCCAAAUGAAGAAAACUUGGCAACUCUGAAGAAGUCAAGAUCGUCUUCUAAACUAAAAUAACCAAGUGUUAACUUAGUUCCGUUUACAGUACAUAGCAAGUGCAUGAAGAGCUUUUAAUAAUGUAAAAGCUAAGUUGGAUUUUUUUAAAAAGUCAUACUUAACUCCAGUUGUGACUUGAUGUAUAAAAUAUUUGAUAAGUAAUCCUGUUUUAAGUUGCCAUUAAAGAAUAUUACUGUUUAGCUUUAAAAAGCAUAUAUGGAGAAUGUUUUAAUGACAAUUGUAAUUUCAUUAACUUAAAAAUAAGCUUGCUAUUCACCCCUUUAAAAAUAAAUUAUCAUUGCCAGUUGAUUAUGUCACCAGUUUUUAUAAUUCAAAAUGAAAUAAAAUUUCGAAGAA
rnacentral:misc_RNA from 1 species